rnacentral:rRNA from 1 species
AUUGAACGCUGGCGGCAUGCCUUACACAUGCAAGUCGAACGGCAGCACGGGAGCAAUCCCUGGUGGCGAGUGGCGAACGGGUGAGUAAUAUAUCGGAACGUGCCCAGUAGUGGGGGAUAGCCCGGCGAAAGCCGGAUUAAUACCGCAUACGACCUGAGGGUGAAAGCGGGGGAUCGCAAGACCUCGCGCUAUUGGAGCGGCCGAUAUCAGAUUAGCUAGUUGGUGGGGUAAAGGCCUACCAAGGCUACGAUCUGUAGUUGGUCUGAGAGGACGACCAGCCACACUGGGACUGAGACACGGCCCAGACUCCUACGGGAGGCAGCAGUGGGGAAUUUUUGGGACAAUGGGCGCAAGCCUGAUCCAGCAAUGCCGCGUGCAGGAAGAAGGCCUCGG